UACGAAGGGGGCUAGCGUUGCUCGGAAUCACUGGGCGUAAAGGGUGCGUAGGCGGGUCUUUAAGUCAGGGGUGAAAUCCUGGAGCUCAACUCCAGAACUGCCUUUGAUACUGCGAAUCUCGAGUCCGGAAGAGGUGAGUGGAAUUCCUAGUGUAAAGGUGAAAUUCGUAGAUAUUAGGAAGAACACCAGUGGCGAAGGCGGCUCACUGGUCCGGUACUGACGCUGAGGUGCGAAAGCGUGGGGAGCAAACAGG
rnacentral:rRNA from 1 species